AAAUUUCUUCUAAAGCUAAAUACUGGCCAGAGACCGAUAGCGCACAAGUAGAGUGAUCGAAAGAUGAAAAGCACUUUGGAAAGAGAGUCAAAUAGCACGUGAAAUUGUUGAAAGGGAAGCGCUUGCAGCCAGACUUGCCUGUAGUUGCUCAUCCGGACUUUUGUCCGGUGCACUCUUCUAURGGCAGGCCAGCAUCAGUUUGGGCGGUUGGAUAAAGGUCUCUGUCAUGUACCUCCUUUCGGGGAGGCCUUAUAGGGGAGACGACAUGCAACCAGCCUGGACUGAGGUCCGCGCAUUUAUGCUAGGAUGCUGGCGUAAUGGCUGUAAGCGGCCCGUCUUGAAACACGGACCAAGGAGUCUAACAUCUAUGCGAGUGUUUGGGUGUCAAGCCCGAACGCGUAAUGAAAGUGAACGGAGGUGGGAACCCUUUUGGGUGCACCAUCGACCGAUCCUGAUGUCUUCGGAUGGAUUUGAGUAAGAGCAUGGCUGUUGGGACCCGAAAGAUGGUGAACUAUGCUUGAAUAGGGUGAAGCCAGAGGAAACUCUGGUGGAGGCUSGCAGCGGUUCUGACGUGCAAAUCGAUCGUC
rnacentral:rRNA from 1 species